AACGAAUGGUACUUGGAAGAAAAAGAACUGAUUAAAAGCCAAUUUAUGCUACAAAUGUGAUUUAAUCCUUUCUCCGUACCCAAAAGAAUAAACAAACAAACAAAAAGUGACAGGUAACCCAUAUGACCUAGUUUUUAAGGACCUGCAAGGGAUGAAGUGGACUGGUCAAGCACAGAUUGUCUAAGAGCAUUUUCCAACAUUGCUUGCUUUGACAAUUAUCCUCGGAAAGGAGAAAGUCCAAAACCAACACCUAUGAGUGCUUCGUUAAGAACUAAAUACAGCCAAAAAUUGGCAGAAGACACACGGGUGAGCAUUGAGGGUUCUAUUAAAGUGCUCUUGCAUUUUUUAACAGCCAAGAUUGUUAAAAAUCUGUUCGUGGGUGUGUGCCUACGUAUGCUCACUCAUGUAAACUUUUCCAAUCUGAACACAUGAAAAGAAGGAAUGCAAAAUUCCUGAGGGGAAAGUAGACAACUAAGAAAGGGAAGCCUGAAAUACUGGUAAAAAGCGGGGGAAGGGACAUAGAAAGAGUGAGAGAAAGAGAUAGAAAUUUGUUUUUUUUUUCCAGAUAAACAAAAACACAAACAAAUAAAAAAAUACCCAUCGCACUGUAAAUACUAAUGUCAAUCUGGAAAAGAAAGUCUUAAGAUUAAUCUUAAGCAACUGGAAAACACAGGGAUGUGCAGAAUGAACCCAUGUGUUUGGGAGUUCAGCUGAGGAGACACUGGGUGCAUUUGAAGAUUCUAAUGACAUGCCAAAAACCAUAUAUUUUCAAGGACUUGAACCUACCAACAGCAAUACUGUUAUUAUUGUUGGUGAUUGUUCAAAAAUGGUUUAGUUUAGUAGACUUUAGAAUUUAGAAAGUAGUAUGAAAUAGAGGCUGUACCAUAUUUUUUAAAAAAAUUCCUCUACCAUACUUCCAAAAACAGUUAAAAAAAAAAUGUUCUAAAGAACUACAUAAUUCUAUUCAAUUGUAUACUUAGGGAGCUAGGUCUUGAAAGCUUUGUAUGUUUGUAUUUUAUUUGCAUUAUCAGAGCUCCAGAAUAAGAGUGUGUGUGCUUUAGGAUUCUAAUCGCAUAUUUAUAAUAACCCUACUAAACGUUAAGUUCAUUCAGAAAUUUCUAGUGAGAUAGGGAACAGCAUUCUUGUGGAAACUUAAUGGACCCAAAUCUAUCCUAAAACCCAGUCUCUGUCACUUCCUUUGUGACGCAAUCUCCAGGUUCAAUAAGUGGCUCUCUCUGAUGUAUUUCAAUAACCUUCUCUUCAUAUCUCCGUAAUGGCAUUUCUCACACUGCUUUCUAAUUAUUUCUUUUUUGGUCUCCCCAUUCAUCUGUGAGUUCAUAAAGUGAUCUCCCCUCUUUAAUCAUAGAUUCCUAGCACUCUCUAUGCACUUUGGUUGAAAGAAUGAAAGAAUAAAUGAAUCAGUGAAUGAGCUACUUAGUACCUGAUGACUGCGUGACUGGCCACAACUAUUAUAAUAUUGGGGAGGCAACUGAAAUAUUUGUGGUCCAGCUGACUGUCUGACUCAUUCGCUUCAAUUCUUGAUGAUGAGACUGGAAGAUGUAGAAGCAUCGCCCUCCCUUGGACAUUUUCAUGUGCUGAUAGUGCCUAGAUCCCAAGACUACAUUCUAGAGUCACAUAAGAAACUCAAGAGUUCAGAGAUUCCAAAGCAAAUCCCAGGAGUCACAGUAGUAUGGUAUCUAACACUCCCACCCACCCAGAGACACUGCCACGAUUAUACAACCAGUCAAGAAACAUCUCAGAAAUACUUUCCAAUGUGAGGUUACUUGUUAAUUAUAUAAUAUAGAUAACUUCCACAAGUACCCAAGCCAAAAUAGAACAAACAGCUGGAGACUGUUCCACGUAGAAAUACAGAUGCCAACAUCCUCCUCAUACCAGAAUGGAGAAAGAGUUCCAAUAGAGAUCCAGUGACAUGGCAUUUUAUUGCGGGAAAAAGCACAUAAACCACUUUGCAUUUACUGAGGGUCUCCUCCUCUUCUCUUUUUUUUUUUACAGAAGUCUUGAUUUCCAGAUUCGAGAAGAAUGCAAAGGUCUCUCUGUCUCAACUUUUUCAACUUCAGAAAGAAUACGUAUUUGAAAGGAAUGAUUGGAAUCACUAUUUGAUGAAUCAUGUACCCGAUGGCACUUGGACAGUAGCUAAUCAUUGUAGCCAAAGCUGAUAAAUGUCCUUGAUUAAGGCAGUGAUUCAAAGAUAGAGGACUUUUUCUGAUUUUUGUGUUUGUGAUUAGAGAGUUAUGACAACUCCUGCUUAUCAGAGAGGGAAAAAAAGAUCACUCAUAACUAUUGCAAACUUAAGAUGACAAUAUGGAAAUAAAGUCCCCGAAUUUUUCUAAAAUCUAUCACUUUCUUUUUUAGUCUUAUUUUCAUACUCUCUGUUAAUCUAAUCUUAUUUUCCCUCCUCCAGAUUGGAUGAACUGUGUCAUAGAAAUUAAGCUCGGAGACAGAUAGCUUUAUUUUUGUUUUUGUUCCUUGUUUAUGCUAUUAAAGAAGAUUGGGUUACACUAGACAAAACAUUUAAUUAUUCUAAGCUCAGUUUCUCAUCCAUAAAAUGAGGAUGAAGAUACAGUGCCACUUUUAAAAGAGGGAUGUGAAGAUUAAGUAAGAUAAUGUAUAGGAAGUACUAAGCACAAUGUCUAGAGCAUAUCAGGUGCUUUAAAUAUCAGUUCUUGUUUCCAAAUGUGAGUUCCCUUUCUCAUACACAAAACUGGUCCUAUGUUUAUAGUUAAAUGUUAUGACUAUAUUUACCUAACUCUAUUCGUUAUAAUUUUUCCUCUUAAUUGUUUAAAAUCCCUUCUGAAUCUCUUAAAAAUCACAAUAUUUAAGAAGUACAUUUUAAUAUGGAGGGUGACCAUGUUCACCGUGAUAAUUCAUAUAAACAGCUCUGGUUUCUUUGAGGGCAGGGACUUCAAUGUUCUUCCUCAUUGCUACAUCCCCAGUACCGAGAACAGGGAGUGUCUGACUCAUAAUAGGUGCUCAAUGAAUAAUAUAUUAAAUGAAUAAAACAAAUAGGAAACAAUUUAGUAAGAAUAUACUACUCCAUAGAGACGUUUAGUAGGGCAGACAGACAUAUAAACUAAUCAUGUUUGGUAGCAUGAUAAGAAUUUUAUUCCCUGGAAAUCAUGGGAGCAACAUGGAUGCCAUUUAUGGCUUGUUACCAUGACUUGUUAUCUGACUCAUUUCCAGCCAAUUCAACUAGAUGACCUUAUUUCAAGAGCUACUUUUUUGACUAGACUUGUGGCAUAUACCACUCAUUCUGUUUCCUGGUAUGGGGAGAUAGGGUAGCAAGUGUUUGCUUCUGAUAAAAUGAAAAAGAAUUGAAGCACUCUACUAUUAAUCUUAUAAGAAAUAUACGGCUUGACAUAAAUUGUACAUAAGCAAAGGAAGCCUUAUUUUAUCUAUUUUUUCUCCAAAACUAAUUUUGUUUCCCCUAAGGCUCUAACCAGAUUAGCAAUUUGGCAAAUAAAUCAGAAAAUAAAUUUUACUGGUAUAUAAAACAUAAAAAUAUAAUGGUUUAACCAGGCUUAGUUCAUAAAUUGACAGGCAAAGACCAGUUCUUUUAAUGAUAACCUUAAAUGAAAUACCCAUCAAGUCUGAAAAGUUUACAAUUUUUUUCAGCAAAUAUUUAUCUUGAUUCUUUCCUCUUUCUCUUUGUCUUAUAAUUAGCAAGAAUCUUUAAAGGGGAGAAUUGUGACAAAUGAAGAAAGACUAGGACAGAAGACAAACAUAAAAGACUAAAAAAAAAAAAAAUGAAAAAGAUUGUCAUAGCUAUUUAAUUCUUUAUAGUUAAAUGUUCCUUCUAUUUGUGAUAUAUACAGAUGGAUCAUUUUUAGCUCCAGAGAUACCUGCAUAUUUUGCAAAUAUUUCCCAAAUGUGGGUCACAUUCACUUUCACUCUAUUUACCAAACUAUGUACAUGGCUCUUGUACUAUCGUUUACCUAAUAGUUUCCUUAACUCAAAUUUUAAGCUUUCUACAUAUUUCAGAUUUACCUUACACAAGAGUAUCUGGAAAACCAAUUACUUGUGCUUUUUCCUAACGUACAUUAAAAUAAAUGCAGAAUAGUAAGAUAAGUAUCUCUCCACAUACCACCCACCAAAUAUUUCAUGUUCCCAGUGCAAUGUGUACCACACUUUGGGAAAAUGACUUAAUGCUAUCAACAGCAGAGUCAUCCAUCUUGCAAAAUGAAUGAAACAAUACUUCCUGUCAACAUAUCUGUGGAAAGGACUGUUGGAGCUUCAGUCCCUCAAGAUCAGUUUACAUCAUGUCCAGAGUGUUUAGGGAUUGUUUCCACUCUGUAGUCGAAUCAGAAAUACAAAAAAAAAAAAAAAAUUGAAAUAGAGGCUGCUGCUGCCAGUGAGCACCUGAAGGAAUUCCCUACAUCCCAACUAGGGAAAGCAGGGUGGGGGGUGGCAGCAGCCCUUCCCGUAAUGCUGUCCACUGACAGAAAUGCCCAACUGAAGGUCUGAAAUUGAAACUAAUAAUUGACCAGGAAUUUCAACAGCUCUUCUCUCAAAUCUGGCAAUGGAAAGAAUAGUGAAGUUAUUUAGUUUCUGAAGAGUAAAUCUUCACUCCUUUUUAGUCCAGCAUUUGGAAGAAUGUUAGGGAAAUAGUAAACAAAUUUCUUCUCAAGAGUUGCAUUCCCCUUGGAGAAUUUACAUUCCUUCCUGACAUCCCUCAAAUAGCCAUAAAAACACAUCAGUUCAAAAAAGGGAGGAAGGAGAGUUAAUAUUUAAAGGAAAAGUUAGGAAUCAAUUACUCUCAGUUUAAUAAUAGCUAACAUUUAUUAAGUACUUGUGAUAUAUUCAGGACUGUGCUAAUAGCCGUACCUGCAUUAUUUGUCCCGUUACAAUCACAAUAACCCGAUAUGUAGGAACUUUUAUUGCCAUUAUUUUACAGAGAAAAAACAAACUUAGAGAAGUUUCAGGCAGGACGCAAGCCCAGAGAGUUCUGAUCCCAGAGUUGAAGCUUUUAAUCAUUAUAUAUACAGAAAGACUCAGUCAGUCCUUUGAAAGCACGUAGUCAUUUAGAUUCUCAAAUUAUCUUCCUGAUUUUAGCAUCUAUUUCUGUAUUUGUUAAACCAAAAAGAAACACAGAACUUGAUACUCAAUUAUACCAAAGGAAAUUGUAACAGUUGAAAAUGACAGCUAUCAAGAAAAGUUAACAAUUAUAGUAUAUUUAUUGUAUGUCGAUCACUUUACAUACAUUAUCAAAUCAAACCUUUAAAACAAUAAUAUCAUACCUAUUUCAGAAAUGAAGAAACUGAAAGUAAGGCACUUAUCAAGAUUAUAUAAUGAAGUGGCAUUUUAAACAAGCUACAUCUGACUUUAAGAUCUGAUCAUCUUGACUAAUAUGCGAAAGAAAAUUCUCUAAAAUAAAUGAAAAAAAAAAAAAACAACACUUUCAAGCUUAAAAGGACAGUUGCUUUGUAGAUGAGCAAGGACAAAAACCUAGAGUCAAGUGAAGAAGCUCUUUCAAUGACCCAGCUGAUGGUGGCUUCAAUGAAGGCAGUGGCUGUGGAGAUGAGAAGUGAUCAGAAUGAUCACCCUUCAGAGCUGCCUGAAGACCAGCUGAACAGAACUCCCAUAACUAAGGACAUAAAAAAGAAGCCAUAUCGAGACUGGGGGCAGUGACUUGCAGCAGGAGAUUUAUGUUUAAAGAGUGUUUUUGAACUGUGGAGCGGCAUGAAAGGAAGACAUAUCUUUUGUUUUCUUAAAAGAACUUGCUGGGAAACAUACAAAGUAAGGCAGAAUCUAAUGAGAAUGUAAGCUCCAUGAGAAAGGGGGUGCGGUUUUAUUCACUGCUAUAAUCCUGGUCCAAGAAUUGAAUCUGACACAGUUGACACUCAAUGAAUAUUUUUUGAAUGAACUGAUGAUAUAGAGCAACAAGAUAAGUCAGGAAAAUCUUCAUGGAGGAAGGACAUCUUCAGCUGAACCAUGAUGGACAGACAGAAUUUGAAUAGAUAAAAAGAAGAGAACAUUCCAGAUACGGACAUAGCAUGACUUAAGAUGACAAGGCUGGAACAGCAUAGCAUACAAAAUGUGGGGCAAAUAGUCUCACCCUCUCUAAAGGAAUAUGUAAGACGCCGAUGUCCGGCUGCCUGGAUUUAGACAGAUAAAAUAUUAGAAUUACAGUAUUUAAUCAAUUCAUAGAUACUAAUGUCAUUCAAAUAUGGUUUCCAAGUGUUUGUCUUGUCUUUGUAGAAGCUUGCAUCCCAGGAUCUUCAUUCCAGGAAUGGAUCCUCACUGUUUAACAGGAUAAUUGAAACUCAAACUUUAUGGAGUUUACCAAAGGAAUAGCUGCUGCUGAUACCUAGCUUGUCCUCUGAUUUCCUUCCCCUUUGGUCUGUGAUCUCUUAUUAUUAUUAUUAUUAUUUAUGCCUACAGCACCUGGUCUUCUUAGGUGGUCUCCCAUCCAUGUACUAACCAGGCCUGCCCUGCUUAGCUUCCAAGA